CUUCCGGAAACCUCCCCCAAGUCUGCCUAGUGAUUCCGUGACGUGCCCUCUCAGUCCGAGCUAUCGAACCUUGUUACCUGAGCGGGCUUGCAGACAACAACACAUACUGAUUUUGGAGCCACAUCAAACUCCAAAGAAUUUUGAAAUCAUUUUUUUAAUGUAAACUUUCUAUAUAUUCCAAUUAACUGAUUUCUGAUUACUGCUGAAUGUAUAACAUACUGUCAUAUGUGAAGUAAGUGGCUUGGAGGUGAAAUACCGGGAAAACACCGUGGUGCUGUCGCUGGUGUGGAAUGAGAGCUGUGCUAGGAGAAAGAAAGAAGGAUGAUGAUGAGGGCAGUGGAGAUGAUGACAGCCUACGGGAAGAAGAACCAUGGAGGCCGAAACAGAGGAUUUGUGAAAGAGAAGGCACACGUGUCAUCAGGUAGAAGCCAGAGGUAUUCCCUGGGAAAUAGUCAAAGAUGCAAAUAAAUAUAAAAUCCUAGCUGUCCACUCUGGUAAUUUCCAGAAAGGUAAGGAAAAGUUUGAUAGUAGAGCAUAUGA
rnacentral:lncRNA from 1 species